AGGAUUAUAGUUUAAAUUAAAACAUUUGAUUUGCACUCAAAAAUUAUUGAUAAUUAAUUCAAUUUAUCUUA
rnacentral:tRNA from 1 species